rnacentral:rRNA from 1 species
GACGAACGCUGGCGGCGUGCUUAACACAUGCAAGUCGAACGCUGAAGCUCAGCUUUUGUUGGGUGGAUGAGUGGCGAACGGGUGAGUAACACGUGAGUAACCUGCCUCCUUCUUUGGGAUAACGCCCGGAAACGGGUGCUAAUACUGGAUAUUCACUGGUCUUCGCAUGGGGGUUGGUGGAAAGGGUUUUUCUGGUGGGGGAUGGGCUCGCGGCCUAUCAGCUUGUUGGUGGGGUGAUGGCCUACCAAGGCUUUGACGGGUAGCCGGCCUGAGAGGGUGGCCGGUCACAUUGGGACUGAGAUACGGCCCAGACUCCUACGGGAGGCAGCAGUGGGGAAUAUUGCACAAUGGGCGCAAGCCUGAUGCAGCGACGCCGCGUGAGGGAUGGAGGCCUUCGGGUUGUGAACCUCUUUCGCUCAUGGUCAAGCCGCAACAAUGGUUGUGGUGAGGGUAGUGGGUAAAGAAGCGCCGGCUAACUACGU